rnacentral:rRNA from 1 species
UACGUAGGGUGCGAGCGUUAAUCGGAAUUACUGGGCGUAAAGCGUGCGCAGGCGGUUCGUUGUGUCGGCGGUGAAAUCCCCGGGCUCAACCUGGGAAUGGCCGUUGAAACUGGCGAACUGGAGUGUGGCAGAGGGGGUGGAAUUCCGCGUGUAGCAGUGAAAUGCGUAGAGAUGCGGAGGAACACCGAUGGCGAAGGCAGCCCCCUGGGUUGACACUGACGCUCAGGCACGAAAGCGUGGGGAGCGAACAGG